CUGAGAGCUGCUACAGCAACUUCUUCACCCACAGCAGCCAUGACUUUAAUCCCCAUCUUCAUCUGGACCCUGAUCUUCUGCUCUCAAGAGUCCAUAGGUCAGGUGACUGUGACUCAGAGUCCUGAAGACAAAUCUGCCCUGCAAGGAGACACCGUCACCAUCAGCUGCAGGACCAGCACUGCUGUUUUCUACUACAGCUCAUACGGCCACUUCUUACACUGGUAUCAGCAAAAACCAGGAGAAGUUCCUAAACUGAUUAUUAAAAAAGUCACAGAGUUAGAAUCUGGUUUUCCAGCUCGUUUCAGUGGUAGUGGAUCUGGAUCUGACUUCACUCUGACCAUCAGUGGAGUCCAGCCUGAAGAUGCUGCAGAUUAUUACUGCCAGAGUCGUCAUCAUAUCAGCAGCACCAACCUGUUCACACAGUGAUAUAACACUGUACAAAAACCUCCGUCACUCAGUCCGGCUGCACAGAGACUGCACUGCUGCAGUGGGAUCUCCUGCAGGUGCUGAGUUGGAGGAAGUGAAACUG